rnacentral:tRNA from 1 species
GGAGUUGUGGCUCAGUGGUAGAGCAUUUGCCUCAAACACAUGAGGCACUGGGUUCAAUUCCCAGCACCG